ACGGUGGCGGCCUAAGCCCGG
rnacentral:siRNA from 1 species